AGUUCGGAUUGUAGGCUGCAACUCGCCUACACGAAGUUGGAAUUGCUAGUAAUCGUGGAUCAGCAUGCCACGGUGAAUACGUUCCCGGGUCUUGUACACACCGCCCGUCACACCAUGAGAGUUGAGAAUACCCGAAGCCCAUGUCAAAGUGGUCGAAGGUAGGCUUGAUGAUUGGGGCGAAGUCGUAACAAGGUAUC
rnacentral:rRNA from 1 species